AAGAAUUCCAAGAAAAAGUUUGCACUAAAGGCGAGAUUUCUAGCUGCAGUUAAAGAAAACUAGAUCUAGAUUUAACAAAUACUCGGUCUUAAGAGCAGUAUAAACUGGUUGUUUCAGAGGUCUUAGUGGGUGGGGAGGGAGUGACCAAUCAAUGAUACUGCCACCUGUGCUCAUUUAAGAAAACUGUCAAGAGUUGAUCACAGUGUAUUGUUUUCAGAACAGCAUAUCCGUAAACUGCAAGUGGCGAGUUCAUCUUGCAUUGCAAUAAAAUGCGGUUUUGUCUCUAAAUAAUCAAGGAUUUAUUCAUUACAACGGACAUGCAGUUUAAAUGAUACAGACUGAAAACUUGUUGACAACAAAGACAAAACCGACAAUAGAUUUCAGUAAACGGAUGUAUGAUAUAAUUUUCUCCGAAUAUAUCCUGAACAUGGAUACAGUUGAACACGGAUACAAUUACAAUAUCGUUAUACAGGAUGAAUAACAAUGAAAGGGAAUGUAAUCUGGUAACUGAUGUCGCGCUGGAUGUCUCUAAAAGGGGGUAAGCUGGAACAUUGGAAAAGACUUAUUAGAGGACCAUAUCAGGAUGCUGCUGAACAAGUUUGAUGUAAUUCUGACCAGCAGAUCAGAGGAGAUGUCAUCAGAAGAAAAGUGUUGAUGGAAACAACAGACAGACUGACAACAGAUGGUGAGUGAUCACAAUAGCUUACCCCGUGCAUGAAGUACUCAGGUGAGCUGAAAAUACUGCCUGACUGAUUCUAUAUCUCACCAUAAAACUUUGUUCUGAAUGACUUGAAAAUCCUUUCAAUGGUUAAUGACUUACAGACUGACAUUAAAUACUGCCUAUCUAUCCACUAGUGUAACUCUACAACCUCCACCAUAAACAAACAUGAAUGAAAGUUGUCCUCUACAGGUACACUUACUGCGGCAAAGAUAUUUAAAAAUCCUUUCAAUGGGAAAAAAGUUACAACACAGACAUGAACAAGUGACCGAGUAUUGCAGUGGCAAUACAAAGUCCUCUACCAGUGGAACACUUUCAAUAGUGACCUUGACCUCUGACCGACAACCAUGUGUCAUGUGUGCUACACAUAUUCUAAUCAUGGGGAACAUUUCUGUGUAAUAAUAAAACAAGAGCUGUCUCCAUAGGAUGACACAUGCCCCCGAUGGCACUUUGAAUGAAUAGUUAUGGCCGAUGUUAGAGUUUAGG